rnacentral:misc_RNA from 1 species
GGCCAAAGCGGUAGAUGAUGGUAGACUAACACCAGAUGCAACGCGAAACCUUAUUCACUUUUGACAUAUGUCUGGAAUCCAGUGACUUGGGAGUGCUGCAAGAGAGUCCAACACAGGUACGCCAAGGCUGCGGCUGGCUAUGUCGGAGAUGUUGGGUUAAAUCUGCAAUGAAGCGGCAACCCUGUCGUUCAGUUGCUACGAAAGGCACUCCAACGAGACUGCCGGUGACAAACCGGAAGUGGGGAUGACGUCAAGUCCUCAUGCGCGGCUCUUAUGGGUAGGGCUUCACACGUCAUACAAUGGUCGGGACAGAGGUCACCAACCCGCGAGGGGGAGCCAAUCCCAGAAACCCGAUCGUAGUCCGGAUCGCAGUCUGCAACUCGACUGCGUGAAGUCGGAAUCGCUAGUAAUCGCGGAUCAGCAUGUCGCGGUGAAUACGUUCCCGGGUCUUGUACACACCGCCCGUCACACCAUGGGAGUGGGUUUUACCAGAAGUAGUUAGCCUAACCGUAAGGAGGGCGAUUACCACGGUAGGAUUCAUGACUGGGGUGAAGUCGUAACAAGGUAA